rnacentral:rRNA from 1 species
GACGAACGCUGGCGGCGUGCUUAACACAUGCAAGUCGAACGGAAAGGCCUGCUUUCCCUUGUGGAUUGCGGGUACUCGAGUGGCGAACGGGUGAGUAACACGUGAGUGAUCUGCCCCCAACUUGGGUAUAAGCCUGGGAAACUGGGUCUAAUUCCCGAUAGGACUGCAGGGUGGUGCCUGUGGUGGAAAACGAUUUUCUAGUGGUUGGGGAUGAGCUCGCGGCCUAUCAGCGUGGUGGUGGGGUAAUGGCCUACCAAGGCGGCGACGGGUAGCCGGCCUGGGAGGGUGGACGGCCGCAUUGGGACUGGGAUACGGCCCCGACGCCUGCGGGAGGCAGCAGUGGGGAGUAUUGCACAAUGGGCGGAAGCCUGAUGCAGCGACGCCGCGUGGGGGAUGACGGCCUUCGGGUUGUAAACUCCUUUCGACCGCGAGGAAGCCACCUGGUUGGAAGGGUGGUGACGGUAGUGGUAGAAGAAGCACCGGCUAACUACGUG